GACGAACGCUGGCGGCGUGCCUAAUACAUGCAAGUCGAACGAACUCUGGUAUUGAUUGGUGCUUGCAUCAUGAUUUACAUUUGAGUGAGUGGCGAACUGGUGAGUAACACGUGGGAAACCUGCCCAGAAGCGGGGGAUAACACCUGGAAACAGAUGCUAAUACCGCAUAACAACUUGGACCGCAUGGUCCGAGUUUGAAAGAUGGCUUCGGCUAUCACUUUUGGAUGGUCCCGCGGCGUAUUAGCUAGAUGGUGGGGUAACGGCUUACCAUGGCAAUGAUACGUAGCCGACCUGAGAGGGUAAUCGGCCACAUUGGGACUGAGACACGGCCCAAACUCCUACGGGAGGCAGCAGUAGGGAAUCUUCCACAAUGGACGAAAGUCUGAUGGAGCAACGCCGCGUGAGUGAAGAAGGGUUUCGGCUCGUAAAACUCUGUUGUUAAAGAAGAACAUAUCUGAGAGUAACUGUUCAGGUAUUGACGGUAUUUAACCAGAAAGCCACGGCUAACUACGUGCCAGCAGCCGCGGUAAUACGUAGGUGGCAAGCGUUGUCCGGAUUUAUUGGGCGUAAAGCGAGCGCAGGCGGUUUUUUAAGUCUGAUGUGAAAGCCUUCGGCUCAACCGAAGAAGUGCAUCGGAAACUGGGAAACUUGAGUGCAGAAGAGGACAGUGGAACUCCAUGUGUAGCGGUGAAAUGCGUAGAUAUAUGGAAGAACACCAGUGGCGAAGGCGGCUGUCUGGUCUGUAACUGACGCUGAGGCUCGAAAGUAUGGGUAGCAAACAGGAUUAGAUACCCUGGUAGUCCAUACCGUAAACGAUGAAUGCUAAGUGUUGGAGGGUUUCCGCCCUUCAGUGCUGCAGCUAACGCAUUAAGCAUUCCGCCUGGGGAGUACGGCCGCAAGGCUGAAACUCAAAGGAAUUGACGGGGGCCCGCACAAGCGGUGGAGCAUGUGGUUUAAUUCGAAGCUACGCGAAGAACCUUACCAGGUCUUGACAUACUAUGCAAAUCUAAGAGAUUAGACGUUCCCUUCGGGGACAUGGAUACAGGUGGUGCAUGGUUGUCGUCAGCUCGUGUCGUGAGAUGUUGGGUUAAGUCCCGCAACGAGCGCAACCCUUAUUAUCAGUUGCCAGCAUUAAGUUGGGCACUCUGGUGAGACUGCCGGUGACAAACCGGAGGAAGGUGGGGAUGACGUCAAAUCAUCAUGCCCCUUAUGACCUGGGCUACACACGUGCUACAAUGGAUGGUACAACGAGUUGCGAACUCGUGAGAGUAAGCUAAUCUCUUAAAGCCAUUCUCAGUUCGGAUUGUAGGCUGCAACUCGCCUACAUGAAGUCGGAAUCGCUAGUAAUCGCGGAUCAGCAUGCCGCGGUGAAUACGUUCCCGGGCCUUGUACACACCGCCCGUCACACCAUGAGAGUUUGUAACACCCAAAGUCGGUGGGGUAACCUUUUAGGAACCAGCCGCCUAAGGUGGGACAGAUGAUUAGGGUG
rnacentral:rRNA from 1 species